AUACCUAUACGUUGCCUCGGCGGAUCAGCCCGCGCCCCGUAAAACGGGACGGCCCGCCCGAGGACCCCUAAACUCUGUUUUUAGUGGAACUUCUGAGUAAAACAAACAAAUAAAUCAAAACUUUCAACAACGGAUCUCUUGGUUCUGGCAUCGAUGAAGAACGCAGCAAAAUGCGAUAAGUAAUGUGAAUUGCAGAAUUCAGUGAAUCAUCGAAUCUUUGAACGCACAUUGCGCCCGCCAGUAUUCUGGCGGGCAUGCCUGUUCGAGCGUCAUUUCAACCCUCAAGCUCAGCUUGGUGUUGGGACUCGCGGUAACCCGCGUUCCCCAAAUCGAUUGGCGGUCACGUCGAGCUUCCAUAGCGUAGUAAUCAUACACCUCGUUACUGGUAAUCGUCGCGGCCACGCCGUUAAACCCCAACUUCUGAAUGUUGACCUCGGAUCAGGUAGGAAUACCCGCUGAACUUAAGCAUAUCAAUAAAA
rnacentral:rRNA from 1 species